GCGAAAGUGGCGGAACUGGUAGACGCGCUGGAUUUAGGUUCCAGUGGGGAAAACCCGUGAGAGUUCGAGUCUCUCCUUUCGCA
rnacentral:tRNA from 1 species